rnacentral:rRNA from 1 species
UACAGAGGUCCCAAGCGUUAGGCGGAAUCACUGGGCUUAAAGCGCGUGUAGGCGGAUCCGUAAGUGCCUUGUCGAAAUCCCACGGCUUAACCGUGGAACUGCUGGGCAUACUGCGGGUCUGAGCCAUCUAGGGGCCUGCGGGAACAGCGGUGGAGCGGUGAAAUGCGUAGAUAUCGACUUGGAACGCCAACGGAGAAAUCAGCAGGCUGGGGAUGUGCUGACGCUGAGACGCGAAAGCCAGGGGAGGCAAACGGG